CCUACGGGGGGCAGCAGUGGGGGAUAUUGGACAAUGGGGGGAACCCUGAUCCAGCGACGCCGCGUGAGUGAAGAAGUAUUUCGGUAUGUAAAGCUCUGUCAGCAGGGAAGAAAGAAAUGACGGUACCUGAGCAAGAAGCCCCGGCUAACUACGUGCCAGCAGCCGCGGUAAUACGUAGGGGGCAAGCGUUAUCCGGAAUUACUGGGUGUAAAGGGAGCGUAGACGGUAAUGCAAGUCUGGAGUGAAAGGCCGGGGCCCAACCCCCGGACUGCUCUGGAAACUGUGGAACUGGAGUGCAGGAGAGGCAGGCGGAAUUCCUAGUGUAGCGGUGAAAUGCGUAGAUAUUAGGAGGAACACCAGUGGCGAAGGCGGCUUACUGGACUGUAACUGACGUUGAGGCUCGAAAGCGUGGGGAGCAAACAGGAUUAGAUACCCUGGUAGUC
rnacentral:rRNA from 1 species